UCUAAAAUCGGCUCUGUUGGUGCUCGCGGACUGGUUCACAGGCCGCAGUUCAACGGGAAGCAGGAGGGCGUCGCCAGACGCCUGGCCUGCGCUGCCCCCGCAACGGUCAAACGGACGAGUCGUUUUCCGGACAUUUUCCGGCCACGGCUCCGCUGCCAUCAAUCAGCCACUGGGUGUGCUUCGAACACGCACCUGGGAAGGCGAUGGGAGUCUUCCGUCAGCCCGGAUACCGGCCAACAAGGUGGCCGCGCC
rnacentral:ncRNA from 2 species